UUUUAUACUAUAACGAGUCGAACCUGCCCAGUGAUUUUAUUCAACGGCCGCAGUACUCUGACUGUGCAAAGGUAGCAUAAUCAUUUGCCUUAUAAUUAAAGGCUAGUAUGAAUGGUUUGACAAGAAUGACGCUGUCUCUUUCAAAUUUUAUAGAAUUUGGUUUUUAGGUGAGGAAACCUAAAUAAAAUUAAAAGACAAGAAGACCCUAUCGAGCUUUAAAUAAUUUUUUUGAUACCGGGUAAUACUAACUUCAUUAAAAAAUUUUGGUUGGGGCGACUAAGGAACAUAAAAAGCUUCCUAUCAACACAUAUUGACAUUUAAGUUUUGAUCCAGAAUAUCUGAUUAACAGAAUUAGUUACCGUAGGGAUAACAGCAUAAUCUUUUUUGAGAGUUCCUAUCGAAAAAAAGGUUUGUGACCUCGAUGUUGGACUAGGAUACCCAGAAAGGUGCAGAAGCCUUCGAUGGUUGGUCUGUUCGACCA
rnacentral:rRNA from 1 species